rnacentral:rRNA from 1 species
GACGAACGCUGGCGGCGUGCCUAAUACAUGCAAGUUGAGCGAUGAAGAUUGGUGCUUGCACCAAUUUGAAGAGCAGCGAACGGGUGAGUAACGCGUGGGGAAUCUGCCUUUGAGCGGGGGACAACAUUUGGAAACGAAUGCUAAUACCGCAUAACAACUUUAAACAUAAGUUUUAAGUUUGAAAGAUGCAAUUGCAUCACUCAAAGAUGAUCCCGCGUUGUAUUAGCUAGUAGGUGAGGUAAAGGCUCACCAAGGCGAUGAUACAUAGCCGACCUGAGAGGGUGAUCGGCCACAUUGGGACUGAGACACGGCCCAAACCCCUACGGGAGGCAGCAGUAGGGAAUCUUCGGCAAUGGACGAAAGUCUGACCGAGCAACGCCGCGUGAGUGAAGAAGGUUUUCGGAUCGUAAAACUCUGUUGGUAGAGAAGAACGUUGGUGAGAGUGGAAAGCUCAUCAAGUGACGGUAACUACCCAGAAAGGGACGGCUAACUACGUG